GACGAACGCUGGCGGCGUGCUUAACACAUGCAAGUCGAACGGAAAGGCCCCUUUGGGGGUCCUCGAGUGGCGAACGGGUGAGUGACACGUGAGUAACCUGCCCUUGACUUCGGGAUAACUUCAGGAAACUGGGGCUAAUACCGGAUAGGAAUCCUUGCUGCAUGGUGGGGGUUGGAAAGCUUCGGCGGUUUUGGAUGGACUCGCGGCUUAUCAGCUUGUUGGUGGGGUAGUGGCUUACCAAGGCUUUGACGGGUAGCCGGCCUGAGAGGGCGACCGGCCACAUUGGGACUGAGAUACGGCCCAGACUCCUACGGGAGGCAGCAGUGGGGAAUAUUGCACAAUGGGCGGAAGCCUGAUGCAGCAACGCCGCGUGCGGGAUGACGGCCUUCGGGUUGUAAACCGCUUUCAGCAGGGGCGAAGCUUGUGGUGACGGUACCUGCAGAAGAAGCACCGGCUAACUACGUG
rnacentral:rRNA from 1 species